UCACUUACAUGUACAUGUAAAAUUUCUUCUUAUGGUCUUACAAUUCUUUGAGAAUCAAAGAAAAUGAUGUUGUAGAUUUGGAGAAAGGGUUUCAGAAAAUGGAUAUGUAUCAAUUUUUAAAGUAGAAUUUCAAAAAUGGAUGAUAGAAGAUCCAAACCUUUGACAAGUUUUUUUGUUUGUUUGUUUGGUUUGGUUGUUUUGUUUUUUAAACUGCAAAUUUUAGGCCAUCAUGAGCUUAUGGUGGACACAAAACUGAGGUACAUGAAAUGGUUUGUUCACUUACGUCCCAUUUCUUCCUGCAGCCAAGUUCCUUUCUUGGCGCAUCCUGCACCCUCUGCCCCUCUAGCAAACCCUGCCUUUGAUAGAAGUGGGCACAUGGCUAUGAAAACACAGUGGCGCAUCUAAGGAUUGGUGGUGAUAUGCUAAUUAGCGUUACUAAAAUGCAAGCAAUAUAAAUAAUAACAAGACUAUAAUAGCUAAUGACAAUUAGAAAGAUCCAUUUUGGAAAAUAAUAGCUUUUGGGAGAUGGGGGGCGGGGGCAGAAAGGAAGUCCUAAAAUUCCACUCUUAUUCAGUGGAAGGAGGGAGAUUCCAGUCUAGAGUCUGCUAGGAAAAGUAUGUUAAUUAUGUGUAUGACAAUUUAUGAGUAACCACCAAAGAAAGAAGGGCAGAGAGAGGAGGAAUGCAAGGCAGUACAGCCACUUUGGAAGAUGUUUUGGUGGUUUCGACAGAACGAAACAUACUCUUACCUUACAAUCUAGCCAUCACACUCCUUGGUACUUACUCAAAUACUUAUGUCAAAUACUUACUUGGUACUUAUGUCCACACAAAAACCUGCACAGGCAUGUUUAUGGCACCUUUAUUCAUAAUUUUUCACAAACUUGGAGGCAACCAAGAUGUCCUUCAGUAGGUGGGUGGACAGUACAACCAGACAACUGGAAUAUUAUUGAGCACUAAAAAGAAAUGAGCUAUCAAGCCAUGAAAAGACACGAAGGAACUUUAAAUGCUAAUUACUAAGUGAAAGGAAGACAAUCUGGAAAAGCUACAUACUGUAUGCGUCCAACUAUAUGAUAUUCUGAAAAAGCCAAACUAUGGAAGCAGUUAAAAGAUAAGUGGCUGCCAGGACGAGGUGGGGAGGGUGAAAUACAUAGAGCACAGAGGAUCUGGGGGACAAUAAAAACACUCUGUAUGGUACCAUAAUUAUGGCUACAUGUCAUAAGAUACGUUUUCUCAAACCUGUAGAAUACAUGACAUAAAGAGUGAGCCCUAAGAUGAACUAUAGACUCUAGCAGAUAAUGAUGUGUCAGUGUAGGUUCAUCACUUGUAAACCCUGGUGGGGGACGCUGGUAAUGAGGGUGCUAUGCAUGGGCAAAGGCAGGGGAAUAUGAGAAAUCUCUCUACCUUCCCCUCAAUUUUCCUGUGAACCUAAAAAUGCUCUAAAGAAAUAAGUCUUUAAUAAUCAUAAUCAUAAUCAUAAAUCAUGAAAUAAGAUUUAUCCCAAUAAUGUAAGAAUCCGUCAACCUUAGAAAAUAGCAAUUAAACCAUUUUACAUACCAUUUAUUUCAGGAAAGGGGGAGUUUUUGCAAGACCAUUGCAACAGAAGUUACAUUCUUUUUUUGGUUUAAUGUUUAUUUAUUUUUGAGAGAGAGACAGAGACAGGGCAUGAGCGGGGGGGGGGGGGGGGGGUGGGGGCACAGAAAGACAGGGAGACACAGAAUCUGAAACAGGCUCCAGACUCUGAGCUGUCAGCACAGAGCCCGACACGGGGCUUGAACCCAUGAACCGUGAGAUCAUGACAUGAACCGAAGUUGGACGCUCAAAACAGCUGAGCCACCCAGGUGCCUCAAGAAGCUACGUUCUUAAAAACAAGACAAAAAACUUUGUUAAUUCACCUACUACAUGACCCACCCACUUAAAGUAUAUAAUUCAGUGUUUUUUUAAAUAUAUUAAGAGUUGCGCAAUCAUCAUCAGAAUCAACUUUAGAACAUUUUCGUCACACCAAAAAGAAACCCCAUAUCUAUUAGCAGGCUGUUCUCAUUUCUCUCCUGCUUUCCACACCUACGCAGUUACCAAUCAACUUUCUGCUCCAAUGGAUUUUCCUAUUCUGGAUAUUUCAUAUAAAUGGAAUUGUAUAAUAUACUGUCUUUAGUGACUGGCUUCUUUCACUUAGCAUAAUGUUUUCAGGGUGCUUCCAUGUUGCAAAAUGUAUCAAUGUUUCAGUUUAUUUUUUUAUUGCCUGAUAAUAGUCCAUUGUAUGGAUAUACCUUAUUUUGUUUGCUCAUCCGUUGAUUAGUUUUUUCCAUUUUUUUGGCCAUUAUGAAUAAUGCUGCUAUGAACAUUCAUUUACGAGUUUUGUGUAUACAUAUGUUUUCAUUACUCUUGUGUUCAUACCUAGGAUUAGAAUGUGGGGAUCAUAUUUUGCAUUUUGAAGAACAGCCAAUCUGUUUUCCAAACUGGCUGCAUCACUUUGUUUGUUUGUUUGUUUAUUUAUAGUAAUAUGAAAUUGAUUGUCAAAUUGGUUUCCAUACAACACCCAGUGCUCCUCCCAACAGGUGCCCUCCUCCAUGCCCAUCAUCCACCCUUCCUUCCCUCCCACCCCCCAUCAACCCUCAGUUUAUUCUCAGUUUUUAAGAGCCUCUUGUGGUUUGGCUCCCUCCCUCUCUAACUGUUUUUUUUUUCCCCUUCCCCUCCCCCAUGGUCUUGUGUUAAGUUUCUCAGGAUCCACAUAAGAGUGGAAACAUAUGGUAUCUGUCUUUCUCUGUAUGACUUAUUUCACUUAGCAUAACACUCUCCAGUUCUAUCCACGUUGCUACAAAAGGCCACAUUUCAUUCUUUCUCAUUGCCACGUAGUAUUACAUUGCGUAUAUAAACCACAAUUUCUUUAUCCAUUCAUCAGUUGAUGGACAUUCAGGCUCUUUCCAUAAUUUGGCUAUUGUUGAAAGUGCUGCUAUAAACAUUGGGGUACAAGUGCCCCUAUGCAUCAGCAAUCCUGUAUCCCUUGGGUAAAUUCUUAGCAGUACUAUUGCUGGGUCAUAGGGUAGCUCUAUUUUUAAUUUUUUGAGGAAACUCCACACUGUUUUCCAGAGCGGCUACACCAGUUUGCAUUCCCACCAGCAGCACAAGAGGGUUUCCAUUUCUCCACACCCUCGCCAGCAUCUAUAGUCUCCUGAUUUGUUCAUUUUAGCCACUCUGGCGUGAGGUGGUAUCUCAGUGUGGUUUUGGUUUGUAUUUCCCUCAAAGUGGCUGCAUCACUUUACAUUCCCCGUACAGAAUGCAUGGGGGUUCUAACUUACUACAUCUUCACCAACACUUGUUAUUGUCUGUGUUUUUUAUUAUAGUCAUCUCAAUGCGUGUGAAGUAGUACCUCAUUGUGAUUUGGAUGAUGACUAAUAAUUUUGAGCAUGGCUUUCAGGUGUUUAUUGGCCAUUUGUAUAUCUUUUAUCUAUUCAAAGCCUUUGCCCACUUAGAAAAAUCUUUAUUGAGUUAGAAGAGUUUUUUUAUAUAUUCUAGACCCAAGUGUCUUGUCAGAUAUAUCAUUUGCAAAUAUCUUUUUCCAUCCUGUGAAUUGUCAUUUUACUUUGUUGAUAACUUUUGAAAUUGAUAAUACUUUAAUUUUGAUGAAGUCAAACUUAUCAAUUUUUACUCCUUUGCUUAUGCUUUUGGUGUCACAUUAAAAACCCAUUGCCAUGGGGCGCCUGGGUGGCUCAGUCGGUUAAGCGUCCGACUUCAGCACAGGUCACGAUCUCAUGGUCAGAGUUUGAUUUAAUUCUUUUGAUGCAGUCAUUCUCUUGUUCUAGCACCAUUUUCUAGAAAGACCAUCUUUUCCCCAGUGAAAAGUCUUGCCACCAUCGUCAAAAAUUAAUCAUAAUAAGGAGCUUAUUUCUGGCCUCUCAGCUCUAUUCUGUUGAUCUACAUAUCUAUUUUUAUGCUAGGAUCACUGUUGGUUACUGCUGCUUGAUAGGUUUUGAAAUCAGAAAGUAUGAUUCCUUCAACUUUGUUCUUCAAAAUUAUUUUGAGAAUUCAACUUUCCAUGGUAUUCCAUAUGAAUUUUAGGAUCACCUUGUCAAUUUCUACAAAGAAGCCUAACUGGAUUUUUUUUUUUUUUUUAAAGAGACAGAGAAAGAGCACGUGACUGGGGAAGUGGCGUGGAGGAGAGAUAGAGAGACUUAAGCAGGCUCCACACUCAGCAUGGAGCCUGAUGCAGGCCCCACAUCCCUGGGAUAGUGACCGGAGCUAAAAUCAAGAGUUGGAUACUCAGACGACAGAGCCACCUAGGCUGAAGCCAGUUAGGAUUCUGAUAGGGGUUGCAAUGAACUUGUAAAAAUCACUUUGGGGAGUAAUAUCUCAACAAUGUUAGCCUUCCAGUCCAUGAAUACAGGAUGUCUUCCCAUUUGUUUUCCUUAAUUUAUUAAACCAAUUUUUUUUGUAGUUUUUAGUCAACAAGUUUUGUACUUCUUUUAUUAAAUUUAUUUUCAGUUUUAAAUUUAUUCCCGAUUCUAUGGUAGUAUUUUCUUAAUUUCAUUUUCAGAUUGGUUAUUGCCAGUAUACAGGCAUACAAUUAAUUCUCUGUAUUGAUCUUGUAGUCAGCCACAUUACUGAACUUGUUUGUUAAUGACAAUCUUAUAGAAUUUUUGAUAGAACAUACUAAAGUUAUUCUAAAUUUCAUAUGGAAGGAGUUAGCUAAGGACUAAGGGAACUGCCUAAAACUGCCUUCCAAAAACCCUCCAAAACAAAAUCACAAGAAGAAAAAUAAAAUUACAUUAAAACUAUGUCCCCAGCAUACCUAGAAAAAUUUAAUACUUUUUGAAUAUUAAGUACUAAAAUCUUUGCAAUUCUUAUAAAUCAAUGUAACAAAAUAGAAAUCCUAGGGGUGGAAAUACAUAUAUUUUUGUAAAAGUAUAAAGGCAAUUCAGUGGGGGAAAGGCUAUUUUUUUUUCAAUAAAUGAUCCAGGUAUCCUUAUAGAAGAAAAGAUGAACAUUCAGUCUUUACCUCUCAAUAAAAAUAAAAAUUAACUCAGUGAUUUACAGGCCUAAACACUGAGAUUAGAACUAUAAAAUGUCUAGACAAAGACGUUAGAAAGUCUUUGCUACUUUGGUGUAGGAAAAGGUUUCUUAAGACACAUAAAACAAGAAUUUUGUAAAUUUAAAAAUUAGACUUCAUCAAAAUUGACUGUUCUCUUCAAAUAAAGCCAUUAAGGAAAUUAAAAAAAAAAUCAAGCCAAACAUUAAGGAAAAUAUCCACAAUUAAUUUUCAACAAAAGAAGUUUCUCCAGAAUGUAUAGGGGACUCUCCCAAAUACAAAAUAAGAAAUCAAGUAACCAAAUUAAAAAUAGGCAAAUAUUUUGAACAUUUGCUUCAAAAAAGAAGAUAUGCAAAAGGUCAAUAAGCAUAUAUAAAGAUGCUCAAUGUCAUUAG